rnacentral:rRNA from 1 species
GAUGAACGCUGGCGGCGUGCCUAAUACAUGCAAGUCGAGCGAACAGACGAGGAGCUUGCUCCUCUGACGUUAGCGGCGGACGGGUGAGUAACACGUGGAUAACCUACCUAUAAGACUGGGAUAACUUCGGGAAACCGGAGCUAAUACCGGAUAAUAUAUUGAACCGCAUGGUUCAAUAGUGAAAGACGGUUUUGCUGUCACUUAUAGAUGGAUCCGCGCCGCAUUAGCUAGUUGGUAAGGUAACGGCUUACCAAGGCAACGAUGCGUAGCCGACCUGAGAGGGUGAUCGGCCACACUGGAACUGAGACACGGUCCAGACUCCUACGGGAGGCAGCAGUAGGGAAUCUUCCGCAAUGGGCGAAAGCCUGACUGAGCAACGCCGCGUGAGUGAUGAAGGUCUUCGGAUCGUAAAACUCUGUUAUUAGGGAAGAACAAAUGUGUAAGUAACUAUGCACGUCUUGACUGUACCUAAUCAGAAAGCCACGGCUAACUACGUG